rnacentral:rRNA from 1 species
GACGAACGCUGGCGGCGUGCCUAAUACAUGCAAGUCGAACGCAGUGGGGACGGGUGAGUAACCGGUGGGUAACCUCCCAUCAGAGGGGAUAACACUUGGAAACAGGUGCUAAACCGGUACUGAUAGAUGGACCUGCGGUGCAUUAGCGAGUUGGUGAGGUAACGGCUCACCAAGGCCACGAUGCAUAGCCGCCCUGAGAGGGUGAUCGGCCACACUGGGACUGAGACACGGCCCAGACUCCUACGUGAGGCAGCAGUAGGGAAUCUUCGGCAAUGGACGAAAGUCUGACCGAGCAACGCCGCGUGAGUGAAGAAGGUUUUCGGAUCGUAAAACUCUGUUGUUAGAGAAGCGGUAUCUAACCAGAAAGCCACGGCUAACUACGUGCCAGCAGCCGCGGUAAUAC